rnacentral:rRNA from 1 species
GAUGAACGCUGGCGGCGUGCCUAAUACAUGCAAGUCGAGCGAAUGGAUUAAGAGCUUGCUCUUAUGAAGUUAGCGGCGGACGGGUAAGUAACACGUGGGUAACCUGCCCAUAAGACUGGGAUAACUCCGGGAAACCGGGGCUAAUACCGGAUAACAUUUUGAACCGCAUGGUUCGAAAUUGAAAGGCGGCUUCGGCUGGCACUUAUGGAUGGACCCGCGUCGCAUUAGCUAGUUGGUGAGGUAACGGCUCACCAAGGCAACGAUGCGUCGCCGACCUGGGAGGGUGAUCGGCCACCCUGGGACUGGGACACGGCCCUGACUCCUACGGGAGGCAGCAGUAGGGAAUCUUCCGCAAUGGACGAAAGUCUGACGAAGCAACGCCGCGUGAGUGAUGAAGGCUUUCGGGUCGUAAAACUCUGUUGUUAGGGAAGAACAAGUGCUAGUUGAAUAAGCUGGCACCUUGACGGUACCUAACCAGAAAGCCACGGCUAACUACGUGCCAGCCGCCGCAGUAA